rnacentral:rRNA from 1 species
GGGUAACGGGGAAUUAGGGUUCGAUUCCGGAGAGGGAGCCUGAGAAACGGCUACCACUUCCAAGGAAGGCAGCAGGCGCGCAAAUUACCCAAUCCCGACACGGGGAGGUAGUGACAAUAAAUAACAAUACGGGGCUCUUUCGGGUCUCGUAAUUGGAAUGAGUACAAUUUAAAUCCCUUAACGAGGAACAAUUGGAGGGCAAGUCUGGUGCCAGCAGCCGCGGUAAUUCCAGCUCCAAUAGCGUAUAUUAAAGUUGUUGCAGUUAAAAAGCUCGUAGUUGAAUUUCGGGAUUGACGUGACGGUCGUGCCUUACGGGGUAUGAACUGUCGCCGUUGAUUUCUCACCUUCUGGAGAAGCUCGAUGUCCUUAAUUGGGUGUCUUGCGGAACCAGGACCUUUACCUUGAAAAAAUUAGAGUGUUUAAAGCAGGCAUUAUUGCUCGAAUACAUUAGCAUGGAAUAAUAGAAUAGGACGGCAUGGUUCUAUUUUGUUGGUUUCUAGGAUCACCGUAAUGAUUAAUAGGGAUAGUUGGGGGCAUUAGUAUUCAAUUGUCAGAGGUGAAAUUCUUGGAUUUAUUGAAGACUAACUACUGCGAAAGCAUUUGCCAAGGAUGUUUUCAUUAAUCAAGAACGAAAGUUAGGGGAUCGAAGACGAUCAGAUACC